rnacentral:rRNA from 1 species
GACGAACGCUGGCGGCAGGCUUAACACAUGCAAGUCGAGCGGGGAAGGGUAGCUUGCUACCUAACCUAGCGGCGGACGGGUGAGUAAUGCUUAGGAAUCUGCCUAUUAGUGGGGGACAACAUUUCGAAAGGGAUGCUAAUACCGCAUACGCCCUAAGGGGGAAAGCAGGGGAUCUUCGGACCUUACGCUAAUAGAUGGGCCUAAGUCGGAUUAGCUAGUUGGUGGGGUAAAGGCCUACCAAGGCGACGAUCUGUAGCGGGUCUGAGAGGAUGAUCCGCCACACUGGGACUGAGACACGGCCCAGACUCCUACGGGAGGCAGCAGUGGGGAAUAUUGGACAAUGGGGGGAACCCUGAUCCAGCCAUGCCGCGUGUGUGAAGAAGGCCUUUUGGUUGUAAAGCACUUUAAGCGAGGAGGAGGCUACCGAGAUUAAUACUCUUGGAUAGUGGACGUUACUCGCAGAAUAAGCACCGGCUAACUCUGUGCCAGCCGCCGCAGUAA